GCAUUGGUGGUUCGGCGAUAGAAUUCUCUCCUUCUGUGGGGGAUACCUGGGUUCGAUUCCCAGCCAGUGUA
rnacentral:tRNA from 1 species